GACGAACGCUGGCGGCGUGCUUAACACAUGCAAGUCGAACGGAAAGGCCCUGCUUGCCGGGUACUCGAGUGGCGAACGGGUGAGUAACACGUGGGUGAUCUGCCCUUCACUUCGGGAUAAGCCUGGGAAACUGGGUCUAAUACCGGAUAGUAGCCAUUUUUAGUGUGAUGGUUGUAAAGUUUUUUCGGUGUAGGAUGAGCUCGCGGCCUAUCAGCUUGUUGGUGGGGUAAUGGCCUACCAAGGCGGCGACGGGUAGCCGGCCUGAGAGGGUGGACGGCCACAUUGGGACCGAGAGAAGGCCGAGGUGGCGACGGGAGGCAGCAGGGGGGAAGAUUGAACAAGGGGCGCAAGGCUGAUGCAGCAAGGCCGCGGGGGGGAUGACGGCCUUCGGGUUGAAAAAGCGUUGCGAGAGGGACGAAGCUUUUUGUGACGGUACCUAGAGAAGAAGCACCGGCUAACUACGUG
rnacentral:rRNA from 1 species